AACGAACGCUGGCGGCAGGCUUAACACAUGCAAGUCGAGCGCCCCGCCAGGGGAGCGGCAGUCGGGUGAGUAACGCGUGGGGACGUACCCUUAUCUUCGGGAUAGCUUAGGGUAACUGGAAUUAAUACCGAAUGUGCCUUUUGGGGGAACGAUUUAUCGGCUAAGGGUGGGCCCGAGUUGGAUUCGCUCGUUGGGGGGGUAAAGGCCUACCAAGGGGAGGAUCCAUAGCUGGUCUGAGAGGAUGAGCAGCCACAUUGGGCCUGAGACACGGCCCAAACUCCUGCGGGAGGCAGCAGUGGGGAAUACUGGACAAUGGGCGCAAGCCUGAUCCAGCCAUGCCGCGUGAGUGAUGAAGGCCGUAGGGUUGUAAAGCUCUUUCACCGGAGAAGAUAAUGACGGUACCCGGAGAAGAAGCCCCGGCUAACUUCGUG
rnacentral:rRNA from 1 species